rnacentral:rRNA from 1 species
GCUAACUUCGUGCCAGCAGCCGCGGUAAUACGAAGGGGGCUAGCGUUGUUCGGAUUUACUGGGCGUAAAGCGCACGUAGGCGGACUAUUAAGUCAGGGGUGAAAUCCCGGGGCUCAACCCCGGAACUGCCUUUGAUACUGGUAGUCUUGAGUUCGAGAGAGGUGAGUGGAAUUCCGAGUGUAGAGGUGAAAUUCGUAGAUAUUCGGAGGAACACCAGUGGCGAAGGCGGCUCACUGGCUCGAUACUGACGCUGAGGUGCGAAAGCGUGGGGAGCAAACAGGAUUAGAUACCCUUGUAGUC